ACCUUUGCACAGUGACAGUAUCGUAGCCAAUGACGUUCAUCUUAGGCGCUAUUAUUGUGAAUUGAAAACUUUUCUCAGUACCCCACCACGACAACUUGAAAAAUAGUUGACACUGGCAAUUUUUGACAGUUUUUGUGGAGA